UUAAAAAAGAGAAAAUCCUAAUUAUAACAAAAAUGCACAAAACAACAUCAAUAUUAACAAGAACUGGGAUUGAUAAUAAUUAACCAAUACUAAGAAAAAGAUUAAUGAGGGAUUUGAAAAAUUAAAAUCAAAACCUGGCCAAUGGGGUUUGAUCAGUGAGAGAGUAUGGACAAAGAAAACGACUUGGGCCUGAAGCCCAAGCUUCCAAACACUGGCUCGAGUUCACACUGCCUCUCAUACUGAUGCCGUACGGAGAAGAAUAUUGAGAGUGAGAAUCAUGGAGAGGCGAAGAGAGGUUGAGAAAGAUGAAGAGGACGGUUGAGGAAUGAAGAAGAAGAUGGCAAAAAAAUGAAGACUUGGUCUGCAAUAAGGCUUCACUUGGCAUGGAGCUUUGGUCAUGGUUCAAGGGUGUUUGGUGAUGGACCUUUGUCUUGAAGGUGCUUGGAUAUCAUGUUGGAUUGACUUGAAGAACAUGGAAAGGUAGUGUCUUGGUUAGAACUUAUGGAAAGCGGUUGGAUUUGUUUUGGAAUGUAACAUUGUAAAGCUUGAAUUGAAAUGUACUUUGGAAAUGUAUGGUUGAUUAUUGAUAUGUAUGACUUUGUAAUUUAUGGAAGUGUUGUAAUUUUGUAAUAAAUUGAAGUUAGGAUAUGAAUGGAAUAAAAAAUGUAGAAAGUUUGGAAUCA